AGUAGAGACAGGGUUUCACCAUGUUGGCCAAGAUGAUCUCGAUCUCUUGACCUAGUGAUCUGCCCGCCUCAGCCUCCCAAAGUGAGCUAAUCAUUCUUGUAGGCUCAUUAAUGGGUCAUUAUCAUCAUUGGUCUGUGCAAGACUCCUCUCUUGUUUUAUUUGUUUAUUCCUUUUCAUCUUCAUGACUCACUUCCUUUAUCCUUGUUUCUGUUCCUUCCUACAGACAAAUAUUCUAACAUUUAAUGUGUAUGUGUAUUUGCACAAAUUCCUCACAUAUUGUGACAUGUAUGCAUGUAUUUAGUUCACGUAAAGAGUAUAUUAUAGGUUUCUCUAGGUUUUUUGCACAAUCAGCAUAAUGUGGUUUUGGGGCCCAUUCAUAUCACUGUGUGUUCUGUUGCUGUUAACAACUACACAUUGACUUGUAGGAGUUCCUUUAUGUUACAGACAUCAAUGUCAUGUCAACUUCAAACAAUGCAAAUAUCUUCUAUUCAGUCUGUUGUCUAUUAGCUUAGCCCAUGCUGUCCUUUAUUGAACAUAAAGUUUUAUAUAAUCAAAUUCAUUAAUUUUGCUUUGUAAUUUAUGCUAAGUUAUUUAAGAAGUCCUUUUUCCUAGAAAAUAAAAAUGUUCUCAUUUUUUUUCUGUAGACUUUAUCACAUAACUAUAUUUAGGUAUUUGAUCUCUUUGCAGUCCCUUUUGAGGAGGUGGUUGAAAUCCAGAAUUGUUGCCUCCAAGUAUGGAGCCACUUUUCUCCUUACUGUACUCUAAACAAUCCAUCCUUUUCUCAUUAAUUUAUAGUGCUACCUUUAUAUUAUAUCAGCUCAAUGUGUGUGUAUGUGUAUAUUAUGGCUGUUUUAUGUACAUUUGUGUAUGUCACUGAAUUCUCUGCUCUAUUCCAUUGAUCUAUUUAUCUGUUCUUAUACCAACACCACACUGUUUUUAUUAUUGAUAUUAUUAUAUUAUUGCUCUUAAUAUUAGAUUAUGUUUCAAUGUUCAGUAAUUAUUUUUGAUAUUACAAUGAACUCUUGAGCAUUAAAUUUUUUAAUCCAAUUAACUUGA